ACGAACGCUGGCGGCGUGCUUAACCCAUGCAGGUCGCACGGAAAGGCCCUGCUUUUGUGGGGUGCUCGAGUGGCGAACGGGUGAGUAACACGUGAGUAACCUGCCCUUGACUUUGGGAUAACUUCAGGAAACUGGGGCUAAUACCGGAUAGGAUCUCCUGCUGCAUGGUGGGGGUUGGAAAGUUUCGGCGGUUGGGGAUGGACUCGCGGCUUAUCAGCUUGUUGGUGGGGUAGUGGCUUACCAAGGCUUUGACGGGUAGCCGGCCUGAGAGGGUGACCGGCCACAUUGGGACUGAGAUACGGCCCAGACUCCUACGGGAGGCAGCAGUGGGGAAUAUUGCACAAUGGGCGGAAGCCUGAUGCAGCAACGCCGCGUGCGGGAUGACGGCCUUCGGGUUGUAAACCGCUUUCGCCUGUGACGAAGCGUGAGUGACGGUAAUGGGUAAAGAAGCACCGGCUAACUACGUG
rnacentral:rRNA from 1 species